GGUUCUGUGGCUCAAUGGCAGAGCGUCUGACUACGAAUCAGGAGGUUCCAGGUUCGACCCCUGGCAGAAUCA
rnacentral:tRNA from 2 species